rnacentral:rRNA from 1 species
UAUGUGAUCGUCUCUCGCAUAUCAAUAAGCGGAGGAAAAGAAACUAACAAGGAUUCCCCUAGUAACGGCGAGUGAAGCGGGAAGAGCUCAAAUUUGAAAUCUUAAAGGGUUUCCCUUUACGAAUUGUAGUUUAAAGAAGUGUUUUCUGUUGAGGUUUUGGUAAAAGUUCUUUGGAAUAGGACAUCAUAGAGGGUGAGAAUCCCGUAUUUGACCUUUACUUUCAACUUUGUGAUACACUUUCAAAGAGUCGGAUUGUUUGGGAAUGCAGUCCAAAAUGGGUGGUAAAUUUCAUCUAAAGCUAAAUAUUGGCGAGAGACCGAUAGCGAACAAGUACCGUGAGGGAAAGAUGAAAAGAACUUUGAAAAGAGAGUUAAGCAGUACGUGAAAUUGUCAAAAGGGAAGCGUUUGACACCAGUGUUGUUUUUCUGAAAAUCAAUUAAAGAACUGUUUAUGCUAAGUUGUUUAGACUUUAUCAGCUAACUGUUUAGUUUUGAGCUUUUCUUUAAUGCACUUUUCAGUUAACAAGUCAACAUCAAUUUCUUUUGCUGUAAAAAAGCUUGAGGAAGGUGGCUUGAGAUUCGUCUUAAGUGUUUAUAGCCUCUUGCCUAUGCAGUCGGAGAGAUUGAGGUCUGCAGCGUAGAUCCUUCGGGGCUAAAUGCAUUUGUGCUAAGUUAUAGCAUUUUAUAGACAACUUGUUGACUAUGAUUUGUCUUGUAGCUUACUCGCUUAUGUUAUUUUACCUACGCUUAGGAUGUUGAAGACUCUACAGAGAU